GGGCCCGCACAAGCGGUGGAGCAUGUGGUUUAAUUCGAUGCAACGCGAAGAACCUUACCAGGGUUUGACAUCCUGCGAAUCUCUUGGAAACAGGAGAGUGCCUUCGGGAACGCAGUGACAGGUGGUGCAUGGCUGUCGUCAGCUCGUGUCGUGAGAUGUUGGGUUAAGUCCCGCAACGAGCGCAACCCACGUCUUUAGUUGCCAGCAUUUAGUUGGGCACUCUAGAGAGACCGCCGGUGACAAACCGGAGGAAGGUGUGGAUGACGUCAAGUCAUCAUGCCCCUUACGUCCUGGGCUACACACGUACUACAAUGCUACGGACAAAGAGCAGCUAACUCGCGAGAGUACGCAAAUCUCAUAAACCGUGGCUCAGUUCAGAUCGUAGGCUGCAACUCGCCUACGUGAAGGCGGAAUCGCUAGUAAUCGCAGGUC
rnacentral:rRNA from 1 species